rnacentral:misc_RNA from 1 species
ACAAACUUGGUCAUUUAGAGGAAGUAAAAGUCGUAACAAGGUAACCGUAGGUGAACCUGCGGUUGGAUCAUUAAAAAAUGUUUGGUCUUGUACCAAAUGAACACUUGUGUGCACUAAAUGACUGUUUUUGGUAGCUCGAGUUGACCAUCGGAACUCAACAUUCCUUUGGUCCUACUGCGAUUUGGAGAACGGGUUCGCCUAUUUUUUCGAAUCAUUUAUGCAGUUGGGCUACCGACCAUGUUAAAUAACUUUUUGUUUUUUUUUUGUCUGAAUUUUAAGAUUUGAUCUUUAUUGAUUGAAUAUUAAAUACAACUUUUGACAACGGAUCUCUUGGCUCUCGCAUCGAUGAAGAACGCAGC